rnacentral:rRNA from 1 species
UACAGAGGGUGCGAGCGUUAAUCGGAAUUACUGGGCGUAAAGGGUUCGUAGGUGGCUGGCUAAGUCAGACGUGAAAUCCCUCAGCUCAACUGGGGAACUGCGUCUGAGACUGGUCAGCUUGAGUGCAGGAGAGGAACGCGGAAUUCCAGGUGUAGCGGUGAAAUGCGUAGAUAUCUGGAGGAACACCGGUGGCGAAGGCGGCGUUCUGGACUGCAACUGACACUGAGGAACGAAAGCCAGGGGAGCAAACGGG